GAGGAAGGAGGGAGGCGUGCCUAAUACAUGCAAGUCGAGCGAACAGAUGAGGAGCUUGCUCCUCUGACGUUAGCGGCGGACGGGUGAGUAACACGUGGAUAACCUACCUAUAAGACUGGGAUAACUUCGGGAAACCGGAGCUAAUACCGGAUAAUAUAUUGAACCGCAUGGUUCAAUAGUGAAAGACGGUUUUGCUGUCACUUAUAGAUGGAUCCGCGCCGCAUUAGCUAGUUGGUAAGGUAACGGCUUACCAAGGCAACGAUGCGUAGCCGACCUGAGAGGGUGAUCGGCCACACUGGAACUGAGACACGGUCCAGACUCCUACGGGAGGCAGCAGUAGGGAAUCUUCCGCAAUGGGCGAAAGCCUGACGGAGCAACGCCGCGUGAGUGAUGAAGGUCUUCGGAUCGUAAAACUCUGUUAUUAGGGAAGAACAAAUGUGUAAGUAACUAUGCACGUCUUGACGGUACCUAAUCAGAAAGCCACGGCUAACUACGUG
rnacentral:rRNA from 1 species